GGUGGAGCGAAUCUCCAAAAAUUAGUCCCAGUUCAGAUUGCAGGCUGCAACUCGCCUGCAUGAAGUCGGAAUUGCUAGUAAUCGUGGAUCAGCAUGCCACGGUGAAUACGUUCCCGGGCCUUGUACACACCGCCCGUCACACCAUGGGAGUCGGUAACACCCGAAGCCUGUAGUCUAACCGCAAGGAGGACGCAGUCGAAGGUGGGAUUGAUGACUGGGGUGAAGUCGUAACAAGGUAAC
rnacentral:rRNA from 1 species